AAUUCACCUGUAGGUGAAUGAAAUUCACCUCAAAGUGAUUGAAAUUCACGUAUGAGUGAAUUUCAUUCACCUACAGGUGAAUU
rnacentral:miRNA from 1 species